GCCCGUGUGGCGGAACUGGUAGACGCAGCAGACUCAAAAUCUGCCGAUCGCAAGAUCGUGCCCGUUCGAUUCGGGCCACGGGCACCA
rnacentral:tRNA from 2 species